UCACAUUUUAGAUAACUGGUU
rnacentral:piRNA from 1 species